rnacentral:rRNA from 1 species
AGAGUUUGAUCCUGGCUCAGGAUGAACGCUAGCGGCAGGCUUAACACAUGCAAGUCGAGGGGCAGCAUAAUGGAUAGCAAUAUCUAUGGUGGCGACCGGCGCACGGGUGCGUAACGCGUAUGCAACCUACCUUUAACAGGGGGAUAACACUGAGAAAUUGGUACUAAUACCCCAUAAUAUCAUAGAAGGCAUCUUUUAUGGUUGAAAAUUCCGAUGGUUAGAGAUGGGCAUGCGUUGUAUUAGCUAGUUGGUGGGGUAACGGCUCACCAAGGCGACGAUACAUAGGGGGACUGAGAGGUUAACCCCCCACACUGGUACUGAGACACGGACCAGACUCCUACGGGAGGCAGCAGUGAGGAAUAUUGGUCAAUGGACGCAAGUCUGAACCAGCCAUGCCGCGUGCAGGAAGACGGCUCUAUGAGUUGUAAACUGCUUUUGUACGAGGGUAAACGCAGAUACGUGUAUCUGUCUGAAAGUAUCGUACGAAUAAGGAUCGGCUAACUCCGUGCCAGCAGCCGCGGUAAUACGGAGGAUUCAAGCGUUAUCCGGAUUUAUUGGGUUUAAAGGGUGCGUAGGCGGUUUGAUAAGUUAGAGGUGAAAUUUCGGGGCUCAACCCUGAACGUGCCUCUAAUACUGUUGAGCUAGAGAGUAGUUGCGGUAGGCGGAAUGUAUGGUGUAGCGGUGAAAUGCUUAGAGAUCAUACAGAACACCGAUUGCGAAGGCAGCUUACCAAACUAUAUCUGACGUUGAGGCACGAAAGCGUGGGGAGCAAACAGGAUUAGAUACCCUGGUAGUCCACGCAGUAAACGAUGAUAACUCGUUGUCGGCGAUACACAGUCGGUGACUAAGCGAAAGCGAUAAGUUAUCCACCUGGGGAGUACGUUCGCAAGAAUGAAACUCAAAGGAAUUGACGGGGGCCCGCACAAGCGGAGGAACAUGUGGUUUAAUUCGAUGAUACGCGAGGA